rnacentral:rRNA from 1 species
ACGAACGCUGGCGGCGUGCUUAACACAUGCAAGUCGAACGGAAAGGCCCUGCUUUUGUGGGGUGCUCGAGUGGCGAACGGGUGAGUAACACGUGAGUAACCUGCCCUUGACUUUGGGAUAACUUCAGGAAACUGGGGCUAAUACCGGAUAGGAGCUCCUGCUGCAUGGUGGGGGUUGGAAAGUUUCGGCGGUUGGGGAUGGACUCGCGGCUUAUCAGCUUGUUGGUGGGGUAGUGGCUUACCAAGGCUUUGACGGGUAGCCGGCCUGAGAGGGUGACCGGCCACAUUGGGACUGAGAUACGGCCCAGACUCCUACGGGAGGCAGCAGUGGGGAAUAUUGCACAAUGGGCGGAAGCCUGAUGCAGCAACUCCGCGUGCGGGAUGACGGCCUUCGGGUUGUAAACCGCUUUCGCCUGUGACGAAGCGUGAGUGACGGUAAUGGGUAAAGAAGCACCGGCUAACUACGUG